GCUUAACAUGCAGUCGAACGGCAGCACGGGAGCAAUCCUGGUGGCGAGUGGCGAACGGGUGAGUAAUAUAUCGGAACGUGCCCAGUCGUGGGGGAUAACGUGGAGAAAUUUACGCUAAUACCGCAUACGAUCUAAGGAUGAAAGCGGGGGACCGUAAGGCCUCGCGCGAUUGGAGCGGCUGAUAUCAGAUUAGGUUGUUGGUGAGGUAAAAGCUCACCAAGCCGACGAUCUGUAGCUGGUUUGAGAGAACGACCAGCCACACUGGGACUGAGACACGGCCCAAACUCCUACGGGAGGCAGCAGUGGGGAAUUUUGGACAAUGGGCGAAAGCCUGAUCCAGCAAUGCCGCGUGCAGGAAGAAGGCCUUCGGGUUGUAAACUGCUUUUGUACGGAACGAAAAGGCCUGCCUUAAUACGGCGGGCCCAUGACGGUACCGUAAGAAUAAGCACCGGCUAACUACGUGCCAGCAGCCGCGGUAAUACGUAGGGUGCGAGCGUUAAUCGGAAUUACUGGGCGUAAAGCGUGCGCAGGCGGUGAUGUAAGACAGUUGUGAAAUCCCCGGGCUCAACCUGGGAAUUGCAUCUGUGACUGCAUCGCUAGAGUACGGUAGAGGGGGAUGGAAUUCCGCGUGUAGCAGUGAAAUGCGUAGAUAUGCGGAGG
rnacentral:rRNA from 1 species